rnacentral:rRNA from 1 species
UACGGAGGGUGCAAGCGUUGUUCGGAAUCACUGGGCGUAAAGCGCGUGUAGGCGGCCUUUUAAGUCUGAUGUGAAAGCCCGGGGCUUACCCCCGGAAGUGCAUUGGAGACUGGGAGGCUCGAGUACCGGAGAGGAGGGUGGAAUUCCUGGUGUAGCGGUGAAAUGCGUAGAUAUCAGGAGGAACACCGGUGGCGAAGGCGGCCCUCUGGACGGAUACUGACGCUGAGACGCGAAAGCGUGGGGAGCAAACAGG